rnacentral:rRNA from 1 species
GACGAACGCUGGCGGCGUGCUUAACACAUGCAAGUCGAACGGAAAGGCCCUGCUUUUGUGGGGUGCUCGAGUGGCGAACGGGUGAGUAACACGUGAGUAACCUGCCCUUGACUUUGGGAUAACUUCAGGAAACUGGGGCUAAUACCGGAUAGGAGCUCCUGCCGCAUGGUGGGGGUUGGAAAGUUUUGGCGGUUGGGGAUGGACUCGCGGCUUAUCAGCUUGUUGGUGGGGUAGUGGCUUACCAAGGCUUUGACGGGUAGCCGGCCUGAGAGGGUGACCGGCCACAUUGGGACUGAGAUACGGCCCAGACUCCUACGGGAGGCAGCAGUGGGGAAUAUUGCACAAUGGGCGGAAGCCUGAUGCAGCAACGCCGCGUGCGGGAUGACGGCCUUCGGGUUGUAAACCGCUUUCGCCUGUGACGAAGCGUGAGUGACGGUAAUGGGUAAAGAAGCACCGGCUAACUACGUG